rnacentral:rRNA from 1 species
UUUUUGUGGAGAGUUUGAUCCUGGCUCAGGACGAACGCUGGCGGCGUGCUUAACACAUGCAAGUCGAACGGAAAGGCCAGUGCUUGCACUGGUACUCGAGUGGCGAACGGGUGAGUAACACGUGGGUGAUCUGCCUUGCACUCUGGGAUAAGCUUGGGAAACUGGGUCUAAUACCGGAUAUGAGCCGCUUUUAGUGUGGUGGUUGGAAAGUUUUUUCGGUGCAAGAUGAGCUCGCGGCCUAUCAGCUUGUUGGUGGGGUAAUGGCCUACCAAGGCGUCGACGGGUAGCCGGCCUGAGAGGGUGUACGGCCACAUUGGGACUGAGAUACGGCCCAGACUCCUACGGGAGGCAGCAGUGGGGAAUAUUGCACAAUGGGCGGAAGCCUGAUGCAGCGACGCCGCGUGGGGGAUGACGGCCUUCGGGUUGUAAACUCCUUUCGACAGGGACGAAGCGCAAGUGACGGUACCUGUAUAAGAAGCACCGGCUAACUACGUGCCAGCAGCCGCGGUAAUACGUAGGGUGCGAGCGUUGUCCGGAAUUACUGGGCGUAAAGAGCUCGUAGGUGGUUUGUCGCGUCGUCUGUGAAAUUCCGGGGCUUAACUUCGGGCGUGCAGGCGAUACGGGCAUAACUUGAGUGCUGUAGGGGAGACUGGAAUUCCUGGUGUAGCGGUGAAAUGCGCAGAUAUCAGGAGGAACACCGAUGGCGAAGGCAGGUCUCUGGGCAGUUACUGACGCUGAGGAGCGAAAGCAUGGGUAGCAAACAGGAUUAGAUACCCUGGUAGUCCAUGCCGUAAACGGUGGGCGCUAGGUGUAGGGGGCUUCCACGUCUUCUGUGCCGUAGCUAACGCAUUAAGCGCCCCGCCUGGGGAGUACGGCCGCAAGGCUAAAACUCAAAGGAAUUGACGGGGGCCCGCACAAGCGGCGGAGCAUGUGGAUUAAUUCGAUGCAACGCGAAGAACCUUACCUGGGCUUGACAUACACUAGAUUGCUGCAGAGAUGUAGUGUCCCUUGUGGCUGGUGUACAGG